AGCAGCCGCGGUAAUUCCAGCUCCAAUAGCGUAUAUUAAAGUUGUUGCAGUUAAAAAGCUCGUAGUUGAACUUCGGGGUUUACUCAUUGGUCAGGCUUAAUUGUCUGUACUGGUGAGAUGAAUCUCUACCUUCUGAGGAACUUUCAUGCCAUUAAUUUGGUGUGUUGGGAAAUCAGGACUGUUACUUUGAAAAAUUAGAGUGUUUAAAGCAGGCUAACGUCUGAAUACAUUAGCAUGGAAUAAUGAAAUAGGACGGAUUGAUUCUAUUUCGUUGGUUUCUAGGGUCACCGUAAUGAUUAAUAGGGAUAGUUGGGGGCAUUAGUAUUCAAUUGUCAGAGGUGAAAUUCUUGGAUUUAUUGAAGACUAACUACUGCGAAAGCAUUUGCCAAGGAUGUUUUCAUUAAUACAAGACGAAAGUUAGGGGAUCGAAGACGAUCAGAUACCGUCGUAGUCUU
rnacentral:rRNA from 1 species